UGAUAUGGCUGCAAGACCCACUCAGUUCUGCUAUGGAAAUUUUAAACUCUGUUCCCUCCUCUCCCUCUAUUUCCUCUCAUGUGCUUUACCCAGCAGUGACUCUUCUGUGACAGUGACUCAGGAGCCACUAUUUACAAGCUUGGUGCAGGGGAAAACAUUUACAGUUGGUUGUUUUAUUCAUGGCUCUGGAUACAAUUUCUUCUGGUAUCGUCAGCUGCCAGGGAAGACAGAGCUACAAGUGCUUGUGAGCCUCUACUAUCACAGUGAUGAUCUGCAAGAUAUUCUUGAUUCUACUCUCAAGAACCGUCUGGGAGGGAAAUGGUUGACCAAGGGAGCAAGAAUGAGCCUGACCCUCCAGAGUCUUCAGCUUGAUGACACAGGGCUGUAUCUGUGUGCUGUGAGAGACACA